rnacentral:rRNA from 1 species
AUACGGAGGGUGCGAGCGUUAAUCGGAAUUACUGGGCGUAAAGCGUACGUAGGCGGUUGGUUAAGUUAGAUGUGAAAGCCCCGGGCUUAACCUGGGAACUGCAUUUAAAACUGGCGAACUAGAGUUGAGUAGAGGGGAGUGGAAUUUCAGGUGUAGCGGUGAAAUGCGUAGAGAUCUGAAGGAACACCAGUAGCGAAGGCGACUCCCUGGACUCGAACUGACGCUGAGGUACGAAAGCGUGGGUAGCAAACGGGAUUAGAAACCCUAGUAGUCC